rnacentral:misc_RNA from 1 species
UUUUUUUUUUUUCAGAUUUGUCUCCAAGCCGUAAUAAGAGUUGAUUAUUUGCCCUUUGCUACACCUAUUAUUGCUGAGCAUAAAGUUUGGUGAUUUAGAAAAGUGAGAUCAAUUGCCAAUUUUGGCUGAUAGUUAACGGUCUUUUUGAAGGUAUAACCAAUAUCUAUUAUUUUUGGCUAAAUGAUCAUAAACAAUAAAUUUUGCCACAUUUUUUUUUUCUUCAGUUUUAGGGUUUUGUUGCCAUAGGGCUAGCCAAUUUUAGGUUUUUUAUAACAGGGAAUCCAGAAGUUUCCACAUCUUGGUUCUUAAUUGGUUUAUGUUUACCUUUUUAGGAU